UUAAGCGACUAAGCGUACACGGUGGAUGCCCUGGCAGUCAGAGGCGAUGAAGGACGUGCUAAUCUGCGAAAAGCGUCGGUAAGGUGAUAUGAACCGUUAUAGCCGGCGAUGUCCGAAUGGGGAAACCCAGUGCAAUUCGUUGCACUAUCGUUAACUGAAUACAUAGGUUAACGAGGCGAACCGGGGGAACUGAAACAUCUAAGUACCCCGAGGAAAAGAAAUCAACCGAGAUUCCCCCAGUAGCGGCGAGCGAACGGGGAGCAGCCCAGAGUCUGAAUCAGCUUGUGUGUUAGUGGAACGGUCUGGAAAGUCCGACGGUACAGGGUGAUAGUCCCGUACACCAAAAUGCACAGGUUGUGAACUCGAAGAGUAGGGCGGGACACGUGGUAUCCUGUCUGAAUAUGGGGGGACCAUCCUCCAAGGCUAAAUACUCCUGACUGACCGAUAGUGAACCAGUACCGUGAGGGAAAGGCGAAAAGAACCCCGGCGAGGGGAGUGAAAAAGAACCUGAAACCGUGUACGUACAAGCAGUGGGAGCACCUUCGGGUGUGACUGCGUACCUUUUGUAUAAUGGGUCAGCGACUUAUAUUCUGUAGCAAGGUUAACCGUAUAGGGGAGCCGCAGGGAAACCGAGUCUUAACUGGGCGUUAAGUUGCAGGGUAUAGACCCGAAACCCGGUGAUCUAGCCAUGGGCAGGUUGAAGGUUGGGUAACACUAACUGGAGGACCGAACCGACUAAUGUUGAAAAAUUAGCGGAUGACUUGUGGCUGGGGGUGAAAGGCCAAUCAAACCGGGAGAUAGCUGGUUCUCCCCGAAAGCUAUUUAGGUAGCGCCUCGUGAAUUCAUCUUCGGGGGUAGAGCACUGUUUCGGCUAGGGGGUCAUCCCGACUUACCAACCCGAUGCAAACUACGAAUACCGAAGAAUGUUAUCACGGGAGACACACGGCGGGUGCUAACGUCCGUCGUGAAGAGGGAAACAACCCAGACCGCCAGCUAAGGUCCCAAAGUCAUGGUUAAGUGGGAAACGAUGUGGGAAGGCACAGACAGCCAGGAUGUUGGCUUAGAAGCAGCCAUCAUUUAAAGAAAGCGUAAUAGCUCACUGGUCGAGUCGGCCUGCGCGGAAGAUGUAACGGGGCUAAACCAUGCACCGAAGCUGCGGCAGCGACACUAUGUGUUGUUGGGUAGGGGAGCGUUCUGUAAGCCUGCGAAGGUGACCUGUGAGGGUUGCUGGAGGUAUCAGAAGUGCGAAUGCUGACAUAAGUAACGAUAAAGCGGGUGAAAAGCCCGCUCGCCGGAAGACCAAGGGUUCCUGUCCAACGUUAAUCGGGGCAGGGUGAGUCGACCCCUAAGGCGAGGCCGAAAGGCGUAGUCGAUGGGAAACAGGUUAAUAUUCCUGUACUUGGUGUUACUGCGAAGGGGGGACGGAGAAGGCUAUGUUAGCCGGGCGACGGUUGUCCCGGUUUAAGCAUGUAGGCUGGUUAUCCAGGCAAAUCCGGAUAAUCAAGGCUGAGGUGUGAUGACGAGGCACUACGGUGCUGAAGUAACAAAUGCCCUGCUUCCAGGAAAAGCCUCUAAGCAUCAGGUAACAUCAAAUCGUACCCCAAACCGACACAGGUGGUCAGGUAGAGAAUACCAAGGCGCUUGAGAGAACUCGGGUGAAGGAACUAGGCAAAAUGGUGCCGUAACUUCGGGAGAAGGCACGCUGGUGUGUAGGUGAAGUCCCUGCGGAUGGAGCUGAGACCAGUCGAAGAUACCAGCUGGCUGCAACUGUUUAUUAAAAACACAGCACUGUGCAAACACGAAAGUGGACGUAUACGGUGUGACGCCUGCCCGGUGCCGGAAGGUUAAUUGAUGGGGUUAUCCGUAAGGAGAAGCUCUUGAUCGAAGCCCCGGUAAACGGCGGCCGUAACUAUAACGGUCCUAAGGUAGCGAAAUUCCUUGUCGGGUAAGUUCCGACCUGCACGAAUGGCGUAAUGAUGGCCAGGCUGUCUCCACCCGAGACUCAGUGAAAUUGAACUCGCUGUGAAGAUGCAGUGUACCCGCGGCAAGACGGAAAGACCCCGUGAACCUUUACUAUAGCUUGACACUGAACAUUGAGCCUUGAUGUGUAGGAUAGGUGGGAGGCUUUGAAGCGUGGACGCCAGUCUGCGUGGAGCCAACCUUGAAAUACCACCCUUUAAUGUUUGAUGUUCUAACGUUGGCCCCUGACCGGGGUUGCGGACAGUGUCUGGUGGGUAGUUUGACUGGGGCGGUCUCCUCCCAAAGCGUAACGGAGGAGCACGAAGGUUAGCUAAUCCUGGUCGGACAUCAGGAGGUUAGUGCAAUGGCAUAAGCUAGCUUGACUGCGAGCGUGACGGCGCGAGCAGGUGCGAAAGCAGGUCAUAGUGAUCCGGUGGUUCUGAAUGGAAGGGCCAUCGCUCAACGGAUAAAAGGUACUCCGGGGAUAACAGGCUGAUACCGCCCAAGAGUUCAUAUCGACGGCGGUGUUUGGCACCUCGAUGUCGGCUCAUCACAUCCUGGGGCUGAAGUAGGUCCCAAGGGUAUGGCUGUUCGCCAUUUAAAGUGGUACGCGAGCUGGGUUUAGAACGUCGUGAGACAGUUCGGUCCCUAUCUGCCGUGGGCGCUGGAGAAUUGAGGGGGGCUGCUCCUAGUACGAGAGGACCGGAGUGGACGCAUCACUGGUGUUCGGGUUGUCAUGCCAAUGGCACUGCCCGGUAGCUAAAUGCGGAAGAGAUAAGUGCUGAAAGCAUCUAAGCACGAAACUUGCCCCGAGAUGAGUUCUCCCUGAGACUUUAAGUCUCCUGAAGGAACGUUGAAGACGACGACGUUGAUAGGCCGGGUGUGUAAGCGCAGCGAUGCGUUGAGCUAACCGGUACUAAUGAACCGUGAGGCUUAACCUU
rnacentral:rRNA from 2 species